AGCAGCCGCGGUAAUUCCAGCUCCAAUAGCGUAUAUUAAAGUUGUUGCAGUUAAAAAGCUCGUAGUUGAAUUUCGGGAUCAAAUUGUUGGUCGUGCCUCGGUACGCACUGGUAUUAUUGGUUCCUACCUUCUGAAGAACCGCGAUGUCAUUAAUUUGGUGUCGUGGGGAAUCAGGACUGUUACUUUGAAAAAAUUAGAGUGUUUAAAGCAGGCUUACGCUUGAAUACAUUAGCAUGGAAUAAUGAAAUAGGACGUUUGAUUCUAUUUUGUUGGUUUCUAGGAUUGACGUAAUGAUUAAUAGGGAUAGUUGGGGGCAUUAGUAUUCAAUUGUCAGAGGUGAAAUUCUUGGAUUUAUUGAAGACUAACUACUGCGAAAGCAUUUGCCAAGGAUGUUUUCAUUAAUCAAGAACGAAAGUUAGGGGAUCGAAGACGAUCAGAUACCGUCGUAGUCUUAACCAUAAACUAUGCCGACUAGGGAUCGGAUGAUGUUAAUUUUUAAUGACUCAUUCGGC
rnacentral:rRNA from 1 species